rnacentral:rRNA from 1 species
AUGCUCCUACGGGGCGCAGCAGUCGGGAAUAUUGCGCAAUGGAGGGAACUCUGACGCAGUGACGCCGCGUAUAGGAAGAAGGUUUUCGGAUUGUAAACUAUUGUCCACAGGGAAGAAACAAGACUGUACCUGUGAAGAGAGCUCCGGCUAACUACGUGCCAGCAGCCGCGGUAAUACGUAGGGAGCAAGCGUUAUCCGGAAUUAUUGGGUGUAAAGGGUGCGUAGACGGGAUAACAAGUUAGUUGUGAAAUACCUCGGCUCAACUGGGGAACUGCAACUAAAACUAUUAUUCUUGAGUGCAGGAG